CCAAAUGCCCUCAAAGCCUUGUGCACGCCUUCCGGAAGGAGUUUGUUACACGAGGUCUGAGAGGGAGAGGCGGCUUGUGUGAGCUGCUGGUGCGGUGGUCAGCGCGAUGCCCAAGGCCAAGGGCAAAACCCGGAGACAGAAGUUUGGUUACAGUGUCAACCGCAAGCGUCUGAACCGGAAUGCUCGACGGAAGGCAGCGCCGCGGAUCGAAUGCUCCCACAUCCGACAUGCCUGGGACCACGCUAAAUCGGUGCGGCAGAACCUCGCCGAGAUGGGGUUGGCUGUGGACCCCAACAGGGCGGUGCCCCUCCGUAAGAGAAAGGUGAAGGCCAUGGAGGUGGACAUAGAGGAGAAGCCUAAAGAGCUUGUACGGAAGCCCUAUGUGCUGAAUGACCUGGAGGCAGAAGCCAGCCUUCCAGAAAAGAAGGGAAAUACUCUGUCUCGGGACCUCAUUGACUAUGUACGCUACAUGGUGGAGAACCAUGGGGAGGACUAUAAGGCCAUGGCCCGUGAUGAGAAGAAUUACUACCAAGAUACCCCAAAACAGAUUCGGAGUAAGAUCAACGUCUAUAAACGCUUUUACCCAGCGGAGUGGCAAGACUUCCUCGAUUCUUUGCGGAAGAGUAAGAUGGAGGUCGAGUGACUGGUUUACAUCACAGCUGCCCCAGGCUGAGGUCUCCCCCGGACCAGUGAAGCUGGAGCCAGGGUGUAAGGCAAGGAGGUGCUGUGUGGCUCCAGAGGGGCUGGCCAGGUCCCAUGGAAUCAGAAGGUUACACACACACGUGUGCACACUCCCCGCUCUAGGGAAGGAACUGUUCUCAGAGGCUCCAAUUUAUAUUCGUCCGGGGGUUCACGGAAAAGCCAGAACCUAAUGUUUUCAGGUCAAACCCCGGGGCUGCCCCAGCGAAAACCGCUUCUACCGGGGCUGAGAGGCCAUCCCGCCUGCCAGCAAGUGCUACAUUCACUUGCUCUUCUGGGCACGGCCUCUGGCCUCACCCCGAUGGCUCUCUGCCCGCUUCCCGCACAGCAGUUCCUCUCACCUCUACAGAAGCUCGCCGGGAACGCUGGGCUGCUUGGAAGGGGCCUGCCUUGCCCAUGCUAGUCCCCCCGCUAGGCUGGGGGCUGGUGGGGCCCUAGCCUGAGGCCAGCUGUGGCUUGACUGGCAGAGGGUAAGGAGCUCAACUCCGGCCUGCCCUCUGAGUGACCUGCCUUCUCUGCUUUUCUUUGGAUUGCUUAUAUUGGCCUCGGUCUGAAGUGAAUCCGAGGCCCCGAACCUGGCUUCUGGGACUGGUGGACUGCUGAAUCCCACUCUGUUGUGUGCCAAGCAGUGGGCUACACAUGGCAUGGCCAUCCUUUGGGGCCAGGCUUGCCUGAUUCGGUGGCAUGAGGUGGUGUCCACCAUGUAGCAAGAUCACAAGCACAGGGUGUGGAGCGGGCCCUGGGCAUUUUCUUAUGUCCUCAUACUUGAUCCCCAACUAUCAGUCAUACAAAAACCUCAUUCCCAGGGUUUCUCAGAAUCUCCUAUCAGCUGUCUCUUGUCACUCGUUCUCGAAAAGGAGGGCUCGGUUUUUUCCAUAGAUAUUUCAUGUGAAAUCUUGUAUGGUGCAUAGUUUUAUCCUCAUGUUACAGGUAAGGAAACAGGCUACAGGGUGUCAAGGCGGGGUUUGAAGUCUGUCCAACAACUAAGCCUAGGCUUUCUGCUUGCUGUAUUCCCCUUUAAGGACCCUGAAGGCAGCCCAUCAGUCCCAUACCAUCAAGGCAGGCUGGGAG